AGUGCAGAUGAUGAAAUGAAAAUGUUUUUGCUGCUAAUGUGGAUGAUGAAAAGGAUGUUUUGGAGCUCCUGAAAACAUGAGGUAUUUCUGUACUGUGCUCCGGUUUCCUCCCUCAGUCCAAAGACAUGCAGGUGAACUGCUUAGAGGAAUGCUGACACUGCUGUUCCAGCCAACACACACACCACCAUCUGGAAGCAGAGAGUGUCGAAUGUGAAACGGCCUCGGGACAAGUGUUACUGUGCAGAGAGGCAUCAUGGGAGCUCGAGGAACAGUGUUUGAGAGCAACGUGGAGAGAGAGAAACAGA